UAGAGAAAAAGUUCAAUAUUAUAUGAUGAAUGGAAGAAAGAGGUAACUUAUAGAGGUAAAUUAUAUGAUGUAUGAAUGAAAGAGGUAACUUAUUUAAACAUUUAUGAUACAAUAAUAGUAAACACUUUACUCAUGAGAAACAAAAAAAUUUACACUAAAAAGGCACUCAAAACGGAUCAAAUACCUAUGUCUAUAUUGAGUCUAUAAUGAUAAAAGAGAAAACGUAAAUACUCACUAUAACUUUAAAAAUUUAUAUUCUGUAUUAAAUUAAAAUAAAAUAACAAAAGUAUAGCAUUGCAGAAAAAUUUCGAUAUAAACUAUGCUACAUACAUUAAUAUGAAACAAUGCUUGUCUGAAGUGCCUCGAACCACUUUUGUAAAAUGCAAAAAGGAAAAAACAUUUUAAGUGUUAUUAUGACUUCUUUAUAUAGUUUGGGAGUACAAAAAUAUUUGUAAAGAAAAUACAUAAAGAAUAUGGGCUUGUUUAUCAUCAUGCGUCAUAAUAGCGUGUUGUGAGGCAAUUGGCAUAAAGAAUAUGUAUGCCAAAGUAGAAGGAGCUAAGAAUGUAAAACAUACUAUAAAAUCAUUCUUUAUUGAUUAUUCUUUAAUGCAACAGAAAUCAUAUCAACAAUUAGCAAUUGAAAAACGGUUGCAAUCGAGUUUAAAUAAGAAAAUGAGAAUUGUCCAGUAGUACUUGCUUCACCAGUGCAAGUCAGAAAACCAGAAGUACCGUCCAAUGAGCCUCUCGAUUUUAUUCAAUAUGUAUAAUGGAUAAUAGAGUGGUAUUGAAAAAAAAGAAAUUACUGCCAUCCUUUACUAAACUUCCGUCUUACAAAAAAAGAUUGGUAAGACUUGAACGAACGAAGAACUCCGAUGAAACGAGUAUACAAUUGCUAGCGAAAUAUGAAAAGCUGUCUAGUUUUUUGACAGAAAAAAAUAUCCAGAGGCACAAAUACUUCAUAAGCGAAAGCCACGCGAAGAUGAAACAGUAGAAUAAAGAAGCCAUAUAUUAUUGUACUUUUAUGUAUAAACGUUUCAAAAUAAAAUCUCUAUGAAUGAAGUGUUA